rnacentral:rRNA from 1 species
UACGAAGGGGACUAGCGUUGUUCGGAAUCACUGGGCGUAAAGCGCACGUAGGCGGUUCGGCAAGUCGGAUGUGAAAUCUCCACGCUUAACGUGGAGGGGCCAUUCGAAACUGCUGUGACUCGAGUCCGGUAGGGGAGUGUGGAAUUCCCGGUGUAGCGGUGAAAUGCGCAGAUAUCAGGAAGAACACCAAUGGCGAAGGCAGCUCUCUGGGACGGUACUGACACUGAGACGCGAAAGCGUGGGGAGCGAACAGG